AUUGAACGCUAGCGGGAUGCUUUACACAUGCAAGUCGAACGGAGUAGCAGACGGGUGAGUAAUAGAAAGGAACGUGCACAGAAGCGGGGGAUAACUACGCCAACGGGAAACUGAAACCAAUAACUAUUGGAAUGGGCGCUAGCGGAUUAGCUAGUUGGUGGGGUAAGGGUCUACCAAGGCGACGAUCCGUAGCUGGUUUGAGAGGACGAGCAGCCACACUGGGACUGAGACACGGCCCAGACUCCUACGGGAGGCAGCAGUGGGGAAUUUUGGACAAUGGGGGCAACCCUGAUCCAGCCAUCCCGCGUGUGCGAUGAAGGCCUUCGGGUUGUAAAGCACUUUUGGCAGGAAAGCGGUACCUGCAGAAUAAGCACCGGCUAACUACGUGCCAGCAGCCGCGGUAAUAC
rnacentral:rRNA from 1 species